UAAUACGGAGGGUGCGAGCGUUGUCCGGAAUCACUGGGCGUAAAGGGCGCGUAGGCGGUUCGUUAAGUUGCUGGUGAAAUCCCGGGGCUCAACUCCGGGGCUGCCAGUAAGACUGGCGAGCUAGAGCACGGUAGAGGCGGAUGGAAUUCCCGGUGUAGCGGUGGAAUGCGUAGAUAUCGGGAAGAAUACCGGUGGCGAAGGCGUUCCGCUGGGCCGUUGCU
rnacentral:rRNA from 1 species